AGUAAUGUCUGGGAAACUGCCUGAUGGAGGGGGAUUACUACUGUAAACGGUGUCUAAUACCGCAUACUGUCGCAAGACCAAAGAGUGGGGACCUUCGGGCCUCUUGCCAUCAGAUGUGCCCAGAUGGGAUUAGCUUGUUGGUGAGGUAACGGCUCACCAAGGCGACGAUCCCUAGCUGGUCUGAGAGGAUGACCAGCCACACUGGAACUGAGACACGGUCCAGACUCCUACGGGAGGCAGCAGUGGGGAAUAUUGCACAAUGGGCGCAAGCCUGAUGCAGCCAUGCCGCGUGUAUGAAGAAGGCCUUCGGGUUGUAAAGUACUUUCAGCGGGGAGGAAGGUGUUGUGGUUAAUAACCGCAGCAAUUGACGUUACCCGCAGAAGAAGCACCGGCUAACUCCGUGCCAGCAGCCGCGGUAAUACGGAGGGUGCAAGCGUUAAUCGGAAUUACUGGGCGUAAAGCGCACGCAGGCGGUCUGUCAAGUCGGAUGUGAAAUCCCCGGGCUCAACCUGGGAACUGCAUUCGAAACUGGCAGGCUUGAGUCUUGUAGAGGGGGGUAGAAUUCCAGGUGUAGCGGUGAAAUGCGUAGAGAUCUGGAGGAAUACCGGUGGCGAAGGCGGCCCCCUGGACAAAGACUGACGCUCAGGUGCGAAAGCGUGGGGAGCAAACAGGAUUAGAUACCCUGGUAGUCCACGCCGUAAACGAUGUCUACUUGGAGGUUGUGCCCUUGAGGCGUGGCUUCCGGAGCUAACGCGUUAAGUAGACCGCCUGGGGAGUACGGCCGCAAGGUUAAAACUCAAAUGAAUUGACGGGGGCCCGCACAAGCGGUGGAGCAUGUGGUUUAAUUCGAUGCAACGCGAAGAACCUUACCUGGUCUUGACAUCCACGGAAGUUUUCAGAGAUGAGAAUGUGCCUUCGGGAACCGUGAGACAGGUGCUGCAUGGCUGUCGUCAGCUCGUGUUGUGAAAUGUUGGGUUAAGUCCCGCAACGAGCGCAACCCUUAUCCUUUGUUGCCAGCGGUCCGGCCGGGAACUCAAAGGAGACUGCCAGUGAUAAACUGGAGGAAGGUGGGGAUGACGUCAAGUCAUCAUGGCCCUUACGACCAGGGCUACACACGUGCUACAAUGGCGCAUACAAAGAGAAGCGACCUCGCGAGAGCAAGCGGACCUCAUAAAGUGCGUCGUAGUCCGGAUUGGAGUCUGCAACUCGACUCCAUGAAGUCGGAAUCGCUAGUAAUCGUGGAUCAGAAUGCCACGGUGAAUACGUUCCCGGGCCUUGUACACACCGCCCGUCACACCAUGGGAGUGGGUUGCAAAAGAAGUAGGUAGCUUAACCUUCGGGAGGGCGCUUACCACUUUGUGAUUCAUGACUGGGGUGAAGUCGUAACAAGGUAACCGUAGGGGAACCUGCGGUUGGAUCACCUCCUUACCUUAAAGAAGC
rnacentral:rRNA from 1 species